rnacentral:SRP_RNA from 1 species
GCCGGGCAUGGUGGCUCAUGCCUGUAAUCCCAGCUCUUUGGGAGGCUGAGGCGGGUGGAUCAUUUGAGGUCAGGAGUUCAAGACCAGCCUGGCCAACAUGGUGAAACCCCGUCUCUA